CUGGGUUUGACAUGGCCGCAAAACUGUCAGAGAUGGCAGGUCCUUCGGGGGCGGUCACAGGUGGUGCAUGGCUGUCGUCAGCUCGUGUCGUGAGAUGUUGGGUUAAGUCCCGCAACGAGCGCAACCCUCGUUCCAUGUUGCCAGCGGGUUAUGCCGGGGACUCAUGGAAGACUGCCGGGGUCAACUCGGAGGAAGGUGGGGAUGACGUCAAGUCAUCAUGCCCCUUAUGUCCAGGGCUUCACGCAUGCUACAAUGGCCGGUACAAACCGCUGCGGAACCGUGAGGUUGAGCGAAUCGGAAAAAGCCGGUCUCAGUUCGGAUCGGGGUCUGCAACUCGACCCCGUGAAGUCGGAGUCGCUAGUAAUCGCAGAUCAGCAACGCUGCGGUGAAUA
rnacentral:rRNA from 1 species